rnacentral:lncRNA from 1 species
AUCAUUCUAAAGUAGAACACUAGCACUCUCAAUCUGUUUUCUCACUAGGAUGGAUAAUGCAUCUGUAAACCUGAAACGUACCCAUUCUCCUUGAAGGCAAAUGGGCAUCUGCCUUAACUUUGGCAUAAAGAUGUUCACUGAUCCUGGCUUACUGGACUUUAAUCCAGUACUAAUGACUUGAAGCACACUGUGAACUACAAACAUAUUUUCAUUCAUCAUGGCAGAUGCUCUUUGAGACUUGCAUUGUGAGGACAGAAGUUCAAUUAAUGUGUUUCCCAUUUGUUCUUCUGACAGAUAGAGGCCAAAUGACACAAUGGGAAGAUCUUCAACUAAGUGUCAAGAAAAAAAACUAGUGUUCUAGUGUUCUAGAGUCCUCUUUGCCACUUAAAAUAGCCUUGUGACUAUAAGUGUGUCAUCCAUCAUCUUGGAGGUUCAGAAAUGGAAAGGAAAGACAUUUUGUAAGUGGCAUAGCAUAAAUGUCGAUAGAAUCCUGGCUUUGUCACUCCAACUUAGGUGACCACUAAACCAUCUGUUUCCAUUUUCUCUUUCACUUAUUUAAUAUACAUUUAGUGGUUAGCAUAAACUGACACUGUAUUAAAUAAUUAAAAAAUGAAAUAAAUGGUUGUUUUCUAGAGAAAUGCAGCAUUUAGUGUGAAAGGCAGACAUCCAAACCUCACAUGAUAUGGUCAAUAAAAGCCUUUCUCAAAUUUUUAUGUGUAUAGGAACCACCUGAGGAUCUCCUUAAAAUGCAGAUUGUAGUUCACUAGGUCUGGAGUGGGACCUGGGAUUCCUCAUUUCACACAAGCUUUCAGGCUAUGGAUACUGCUGAUCAGUGAAUCACAGUUUGAGAAGUGAGUGUAAUAAAAUAUAAACAGAGAUAUGCUAUCGGAGCACAGAAGAAAAGAAACUAACUGAACUAUGUAGCAUCCAAAGAGGAAGUGAGAUGGAGUUGAAGGAUGAGUAACAAAAGAUGCAAAGGAAGGCAUUUAAAUGUCUUUGAGUAGAGGCACUAUUUUAUACAGAACACAGAGGUAUGAAUUGCCAUGGUGUGAGUGUAGAAAAAUAAUCCCACACUGGGGAGUCAUGUACAGGGAGACCAGUUUCCAGGAAGAGCAACAGUUCACUUAGGAGGUAAUGAAGGCCUGAAUUACUUUAAUGUGUUCAUGUGAUUAUUCAUAGCUGGGUUUUCUAAAAGGUGUAGUGGAGAGGGCCUAAUGAAGGGGAAAACAGGGAGGAUAAAAAGAAAAAGGAAAUACAUUUCUCCCAAUAUAUUUGUAAGGUAAAAAGUGACAAGGCCAUGGCCAGGUUCAGUGGCUCAUGUGUGUAAUCCCAGUGCUUUGGGAGGCUGAGAUAGGAGGAUCACUUAAGGCCGGGAGUUCAAGAUCAGCCCAGGCAACAUAGCAAGACCCUAUCUCUACAUAAAAUUAGCCAAGUGUGGUGCCACGUGUCUGUAGACCUGACUACUUGGGAGACUGAGGCAGAAGGAUCACUGGAGCCCAGGAGUUCAAGGUUACAAUGAGCUAAGACCAUGCCACUGCACUCCAGCCUGAGUAACAACAGAGCAAGACCCUGUCUCAAAAAAAAAAAGAACGAAAGAAAGAAAGAAAAACAAAAACAAAAAAGAAAAAGCAAAUGACAGAACCAAAUCGCUGAUCAUAAGUGGCUGAGGGUAAAAGGGAAGAGAGACAGGAAAAUGUAUUGCUCUGGUGACUGGUAAUGUUGUUUUUACUCAAGAUAAUGGUUAUACUAGGAGAAACAGUUUCUGAUUUGUUGGAGGAGGUAAAAAGUGAAGACAAAAUGAAUUUGAACAUUGAAAAUUUAAUGACUGAGGGACAUAUUUCCAGGGCCACUCUAGGUUUAAAGAUCUAUUAUUGCUU